rnacentral:rRNA from 1 species
GAUUCCUCGAGUAACGGCGAGUGAAAGGGGAGAAGCUCAGCGUGUAGCCUCGGGGAUGCCCUCCAAGUGAGUGUGUUAAUCCUACGAUGGGAUGCCACGUAUGGGAGAACGCUAGAAGAGUCCGCGACCCGGCAAUCCGAACUGUUUGAUGAAACAUUGCCCAGAGAGGGUGUUAGGCCCGUAGGACCGUCGGUCGUGACUUUUCGCGGUGUUCUCUCGAGAGUCGGGUUGUUUGAGAAUACAGCCUUAAGAGGUGGGAAACUCCAUCUAAAGCUAAAUAUUACUGCGAGACCGAUAGCGAACAAGUACCGUGAGGGAAAGUUGAAAAGGACUCUGAAGAGAGGGUUCAAGAGAGCGUGAAACUGCCACGGGGAUAAAGCGGAUACAUUAGCGUAGUCGAAAAGGGAGAUACAACUCGUUGGCCGUCGACCCCUCGAUUUCGACGUCCGUCAGGAAUUACCCACUCUAACGCGAGAUUCGUCGAGCUUAGGUGUUCUUGGUUCCGGUCGGCGCGUCGAUCGAGCGUGCGUACGUUCACCAACGAGUCUACUUCACACCUCAGUAGGCCGUCGCGACGGUCGGCAAGUUGUCGAAGGCUUUUUGAAAGGUCGCGGGAACCUUUCGUCGCGGUUUGGGCGCUCCGGCGUCCAACGCCGCCGACGAAGGGGGACGCUUUCACGAAUUUACUGGCGGACUUGACGACCGGAGAAAUGAACGUUCGCGUAGCGGGUGGGCGACGCGGUGAGGGUGCAAACCCGAUCCCCUAACCCGCCCCUGCGACACGUGAGUGCGGCGCUCAUAGCGAUCAAUUUAUCCGUCCCGUCUUGAAACACGGACCAAGGAGUCUAACAUGUACGCGAGUCAAAGGGUCUACUAAACCCCUAGGCGUAAUGAAAGUAAAUCAGGAUCGAUCCGCGCUUUUCCGCGCCGCUGGGUUGUGCGUUCGCGCGCGCCCACGGUCGGAAAACCGGCGCAAAUCCGGGACCCGUCUUACUGCUUUUCCUCGGAGAAGUUCACGUGGCGGGUACCUCGAGUGUACACGUUGGUACCCGAAAGAUGGUGAUCUAUGCUUGGCCGGGAUGAAGCCAGAGGAAACUCUGGUGGAG